UACAGAGGGUGCAAGCGUUAAUCGGAUUGACUGGGCGUAAAGGGCGCGUAGGCGGUUAUAUAAGAUAGAUGUGAAAUCCCUGGGCUUAACCUAGGAACGGCAUCUAAGACUGUAUAACUGGAGUAUUGUAGAGGGUAGUGGAAUUUCCGGUGUAGCGGUGAAAUGCGUAGAGAUCGGAAGGAACACCAGUGGCGAAGGCGGCUACCUGGACAAAUACUGACGCUGAGGCGCGAGAGCGUGGGGAGCAAACAGG
rnacentral:rRNA from 1 species